GUGAUCCGGAUCCGCCCGCAUCCGGAUCCGGAUCAAACAGCAUCUGGAUCACGCAGCGGUGUUAACUUUGCCCCAGGCGGAUGUUCCAAAUCGUGCUCCUCCUACUUCUGCGCCUCGACUUUCCAAACUGGUAUUUUCAAACCUGCAGCUCUUCGCGCCAGACGUACUACUUAGUUUUACAGAAGUGUUCAUCAGGAUCGAUCUCUACAAUUCAGGUAAGCACACAUUUUUUUACAGUAGCAGUCGUGCCACAAAGCUGGUACGGUGGUAGUUUCUGCGUUUGGCCAAAUUACCCGAGGGACGAAAGGGUGGACAAGGCUGUCCGAGGUGCCGAAGAACCUCAACCUGACUGGCAGACACAUGAUAUGAUUACUUGGUGGCAAGGCGAUGGUUAAAAAAGUAUGUCCUGUGACACAUCCGAUCUCCAUUCAGAAGAGGAGGCAAUUCCUAAAAG